rnacentral:rRNA from 1 species
CCUACGGGAGGCAGCAGUGAGGAAUAUUGGUCAAUGGGCUGAAGCCUGAACCAGCCAAGUCGCGUGAGGGAAUAAGGCCCUACGGGUCGUAAACCUCUUUUGCCGGGGAGCAAGGGCGGGGACGUGUCCCUGCCCUGAGAGUACCCGGAGAAAAAUCAUCGGCUAACUCCGUGCCAGCAGCCGCGGUAAUACGGAGGAUGCGAGCGUUAUCCGGGUUUGUUGGGUUUAAAGGGUGCGUAGGCGGGCUUUUAAGUCACCGGUACAAAUUCGGGGCGCAACCCCUUCCGGCCGUUGAAACUGGGGGCCUUGAGUGGGCGAGAAGAAGGCGGAAUGCGUGGUGUAGCGGUGAAAUGCAUAGAUAUCACGCAGAACCCCGAUUGCGAAGGCAGCCUUCCGGCGCCCUACUGACGCUGAGGCACGAAAGUGCGGGGAUCGAACAGGAGUAGAUACCCGAGUAGUC